rnacentral:lncRNA from 1 species
UAGUGCAACGGAGAAAAGCAAUAUCUUGAGAAAAGUUAAAAGAGGGUUUACAAAAAGAAAACUGCACCUUUUUUUUCUCAUGCAUGCUUUGAAUCUGAUCAGCCAGGCUUACAGCUUACUCCAACAAUGUUCGCAUGCCACUGCAUUCACCGGUUACAAUGAAAAAAGGUGUGCCGGCGCAAUACAAUGUUCUGUUGGUACACUAGUGCCAAGGUUCUGGUACUCCAAAGCAAGAAGCCACAGGAAAAAGGAGAAAAAAAAGAAGAGAAAAAGCCAUAAUCCAAUGACAUGAUUCCAUCGUAGGCAUAUCCGAUGGUCCCUCCCGGAUGGUAGCCGCUGACAAGGCAAAGUAGCGGCCGACCGUUAUUAUGCAGUGCAAACCGAGAAUCAACAACCAAAUAGGAGUACUCCGUAUAUUUUAUUUCCAUAGCAGGGAUAGCAGG